rnacentral:rRNA from 1 species
AGAGCGAACGCUGGCGGCAGGCUUAACACAUGCAAGUCGAACGGAUCCUUCGGGAUUAGUGGCGGACGGGUGAGUAACACGUGGGAACGUGCCUUUUGGUUCGGAACAACUCAGGGAAACUUGAGCUAAUACCGGAUGUGCCCUUCGGGGGAAAGAUUUAUCGCCAUUAGAGCGGCCCGCGUCUGAUUAGCUAGUUGGUGAGGUAAAGGCCCACCAAGGCUACGAUCAGUAGCUGGUCUGAGAGGAUGACCAGCCACAUUGGGACUGAGACACGGCCCAAACUCCUACGGGAGGCAGCAGUGGGGAAUCUUGCGCAAUGGGCGAAAGCCUGACGCAGCCAUGCCGCGUGAAUGAUGAAGGUCUUAGGAUUGUAAAAUUCUUUCACCGGGACGAUAAUGACGGUACCCGGAGAACGAAGCCCCGGCUAACUUCGCGCCAGCAGCCGC